UUGAAGUGUUUUUGAUUAACUAUAUGCGAUAAUGAAAACCAUGAGAACGACCUUAUGCAGAAGUUCUCUCUUUCUGAUGUUACAUAUAAAACAGCGGAAGUCUUACAAUAUUUAACACAUAGCUUUUUCUCUCCUCCUGCUCAUUCCCCAACACCCUCCAAGCCAGAGAAAAAGCUAAUUAUGGAAGUGUUAGAAAUGGUGGUAUACCAAGACUUCAGCCUUCUAUAAGGAGCAAAGCUAUGCCCAGAAUGGAAAAGAAGAAUCAAGUACAACUGAGAAUUCAUUGAUUCUGUUUUAUGCUAACAAAAUGACCUCCAAACUGAAGCCAAUUUAGAUCAAAACAAACCCUGUUGGAGAUUUUAGAUUGUAGAUUUGAGCAUUGCAAACUAAAACUGCAUGUACUCUGGGCAUAAACUGUUUUGAAGCGAAAAAUAAUUCUACAGCAGUUAAAACUGCUGUGUAUACUCCUGCCAAGGCCACGUUAUUAGGGCUUUGUAAAAUGCUGCAUUGGGCUAAGAACUUCUUAUAGCUUGUUGGCUUGUUACAGUUAGGGGAAUCAACUUUUGUUGGUGUGUAUUUGUUAAUUAAUUUCACAUCAUUUGGCAAAUGGGCAAACAUUUCAGUACAGGACUGUAUGUAAUCACCCUCUCUGUAGAAAAAAAUCAAGAAGGUAUUAAAUAAAGCUGAAACAGCCUUUGUCAACUCCAGCAGAAGAACAGUGGGUACAACAGCAAUUAGUAAGAACUGGUCCCAUCUUUUUU